ensembl:lncRNA
AAAUUUCGCACCCACUCAAGGAGCUUACAUCCUCCCAGAACAGAAGUUUGGAGGGGAGCAUGAAAGAAACAGAAGUCAGGCGAUUUAUCAGAACUCCAGUGAUUUUGCAGCGUUGUUUUGACGAUCCAGAGAAACACUCAGAAGAACCUACAGAAAGAGUACUACCACCAAUGUCCAAAACAUUACAAAGAUUAAUUUACAAACAAGGCACAAUUCGACAUGGGAUUUUCAGAAAGACUAUAUUGGAUCCAACAGUAAUGUCACAACACACAAGUGUGAGUAACUGUUUUUAUUAUGUGGUCACUAUUGCUUUGUCUCUUCUUACAGAUCGUUUGAUAUGUACUGAGUAUUUAUGCGUUCAAACAUACACAACUGUUAGCCAAUCAUAGCAGUAGGUGUUUACAGUACUUCCGAGUCUACAAUCUGUCAUGCCUAUUCAAAUGAAGCGUUCUGAUGAGGGGGUUAAAAACAGGACAGAAUAUAGCCUAUUUCUUCUAAAUUAUUAUUAUUAUUAUUAUUAUUAUUCAUGUAAAAAUCUUGAUAACAUUAUAAGGGGACCUCAGAGGACAGUACAAAAUAAUAAAAAAGGUGGUUCAUGACCCCUUUAAGCA